GACGAACGCUGGCGGCGUGCCUAACACAUGCAAGUCGAGCGGGGUUGAAGCGAGGGGUAACUCGAGUUUCUACCUAGCGGCGGACGGGUGAGUAACGCGUGGGCAACCUGCCUCAAGGACUGGGAUAACAGCUCGAAAGGGCUGCUAAUACCGGAUAAGCCUAUGGCCUCGCAUGGGGCCAUGAGCAAAGGGGAAACCCGCCUUGAGAUGGGCCCGCGUCCCAUCAGCUAGUUGGUGAGGUGAAGGCUCACCAAGGCGACGACGGGUAGCCGGCCUGAGAGGGUGACCGGCCACACUGGGACUGAGACACGGCCCAGACUCCUACGGGGGGCAGCAGUGGGGAAUCUUGCACAAUGGGCGAAAGCCUGAUGCAGCGACGCCGCGUGAGCGAAGAAGGCCUUCGGGUUGUAAAGCUCUGUCUGGAGGGACGGAAGGAAGGUGACGGUACCUCCGGAGGAAGCCACGGCUAACUACGUGCCAGCAGCCGCGGUAAACGUAGCGUG
rnacentral:rRNA from 1 species